GAUGAACGCUAGCGGGAGGCCUAACACAUGCAAGCCGAGCGGUAUUGUUUCUUCGGAAAUGAGAGAGCGGCGUACGGGUGCGGAACACGUGUGCAACCUGCCUUUAUCUGGGGGAUAGCCUUUCGAAAGGAAGAUUAAUACUCCAUAAUAUAUUGAACGGCAUCGUUUAAUAUUGAAAGCUCCGGCGGAUAGAGAUGGGCACGCGCAAGGUUAGCUAGUUGGUGAGGUAACGGCUCACCAAGGCGAUGAUCUUUAGGGGGCCUGAGAGGGUGAUCCCCCACACUGGUACUGAGACACGGACCAGACUCCUACGGGAGGCAGCAGUGAGGAAUAUUGGUCGAUGGGUGCAAGCCUGAACCAGCCAUCCCGCGUGAAGGACGACUGCCCUAUGGGUUGUAAACUUCUUUUGUAUAGGGAUAAACCUACCCUCGUGAGGGUAGCUGAAGGUACUAUACGAAUAAGCACCGGCUAACUCCGUGCCAGUCGCCGCCGUAAAAC
rnacentral:rRNA from 1 species